ensembl:misc_RNA Vault Vault RNA
GGGCUGGCUUUAACCCAGUGGUUCCUCCGAGUCUGGCUUCCCAACCGCCUGGGCAGAUUGGUCCAGUGGUUCCAGACCCACGGAAGCUCUUCAGUUCUUUA